rnacentral:rRNA from 1 species
CCAGACUCCUACGGGAGGCAGCAGUGGGGAAUAUUGCACAAUGGGGGAAACCCUGAUGCAGCAACGCCGCGUGAGUGAAGAAGUAUUUCGGUAUGUAAAGCUCUAUCAGCAGGGAAGAAGAUGACGGUACCUGAAUAAGAAGCCCCGGCUAACUACGUGCCAGCAGCCGCGGUAAUACGUAGGUGGUAAGCGUUGUCCGGAUUUACUGGGUGUAAAGGGCGUGCAGCCGGGCUGACAAGUCAGAUGUGAAAUCCCGCGGCUCAACCGCGGAACUGCAUUUGAAACUGUCAGUCUUGAGUACCGGAGAGGUCAUCGGAAUUCCUUGUGUAGCGGUGAAAUGCGUAGAUAUAAGGAGGAACACCAGUGGCGAAGGCGGCCUGCUGGACUGCAACUGACGUUGAGGCUCGAAGGCGUGGGGAGCAAACAGGAUUAGAUACCCGUGUA